UACGGAGGAUGCGAGCGUUAUCCGGAUUUAUUGGGUUUAAAGGGUGCGUAGGCGGUAUUUUAAGUUAGUGGUAAAACGUCGGGGCUUCACCUUGAUUGGCCAUUAAAACUGGAGUACUAGAGUACAGACGAGGUAGGCGGAAUAAGUUAAGUAGCGGUGAAAUGCUUAGAUAUAACUUAGAACCCCGAUAGCGAAGGCAGCUUACCAGACUGUUACUGACGCUGAAGCACGAGAGCGUGGGGAGCGAACAGG
rnacentral:rRNA from 1 species